rnacentral:rRNA from 1 species
GGUUUACCUGUGUGACUGCGUACCUUUUGUAUAAUGGGUCAGCGACUUAUAUUCUGUAGCAAGGUUAACCGAAUAGGGGAGCCGGAGGGAAACCGAGUCUUAACCGGGCGUUAAGUUGCAGGGUAUAGACCCGAAACCCGGUGAUCUAGCCAUGGGCAGGUUGAAGGUUGGGUAACACUAACUGGAGGACCGAACCGACUAAUGUUGAAAAAUUAGCGGAUGACCUGUGGCUGGGGGUGAAAGGCCAAUCAAACCGGGAGAUAGCUGGUUCUCCCCGAAAGCUAUUUAGGUAGCGCCUCGUGAAUUCAUCUCCGGGGGUAGAGCACUGUUUCGGCUAGGGGGCCAUCCCGGCUUACCAACCCGAUGCAAACUGCGAAUACCGGAGAAUGUUAUCACGGGAGACACACGGCGGGUGCUAACGUCCGUCGUGAAGAGGGAAACAACCCAGACCGCCAGCUAAGGUCCCAAAGUCAUGGUUAAGUGGGAAACGAUGUGGGAAGGCCCAGACAGCCAGGAUGUUGGCUUAGAAGCAGCCAUCAUUUAAAGAAAGCGUAAUAGCUCACUGGUCGAGUCGGCCUGCGCGGAAGAUGUAACGGGGCUAAACCAUGCACCGAAGCUGCGGCAGCGACGCUGAUGCGUUGUUGGGUAGGGGAGCGUUCUGUAAGCCUGCGAAGGUGGCCUGUGAGGGUUGCUGGAGGUAUCAGAAGUGCGAAUGCUGACAUAAGUAACGAUAAAGCGGGUGAAAAGCCCGCUCGCCGGAAGACCAAGGGUUCCUGUCCAACGUUAAUCGGGGCAGGGUGAGUCGACCCCUAAGGCGAGGCCGAAAGGCGUAGUCGAUGGGAAACGGGUUAAUAUUCCCGUACUUGGUGUUACUGCGAAGGGGGGACGGAGAAGGCUAUGUUGGCCGGGCGACGGUU